GAUGAACGCUGGCGGCGUGCCUAAUACAUGCAAGUCGAACGGAAAGGCCCUGCUUUUGUGUGGUGCUCGAGUGGCGAACGGGUGAGUAACACGUGAGUAACCUGCCCUUUACUUUGGGAUAACUUUUGGAAACUGUGGCUAAUACCGCAUAUCAGCUCUUGCUGCAUGGUGGCGGUUGGAAAGUUUCGGCGGAUCGGGAAGGACUCGCGGCUUCUUUGCUUUAUGGUGGGGUAGUGGCUUACAAAGGCUAUGACGGGUAGCCGGACUGAGAGUGUGACCGGCCACAUUGUGACUGAGGAAGGACCAAGACGGAAACGGCAGGAAGGGGCGGAAGACAGAGCGAAAAAGGCGGAAGGAGGAAAGAAGGAUGUCGGGUGGGGAAUGACGGCUGUAGGGGUAGAAACAGCGUGAGACUGUAACGUAGAGUGAGUGACGGUAAUGGAUAAGAAAGCAACGGCUAACUACGUG
rnacentral:rRNA from 1 species